GGGCCCGCACAAGCGGUGGAGUAUGUGGUUUAAUUCGAUGCAACGCGAAGAACCUUACCUACUCUUGACAUCCAGAGAAGCCAGCGGAGACGCAGGUGUGCCUUCGGGAACUCUGAGACAGGUGCUGCAUGGCUGUCGUCAGCUCGUGUUGUGAAAUGUUGGGUUAAGUCCCGCAACGAGCGCAACCCUUAUCCUUGUUUGCCAGCACGUAAUGGUGGGAACUCCAGGGAGACUGCCGGUGAUAAACCGGAGGAAGGUGGGGACGACGUCAAGUCAUCAUGGCCCUUACGAGUAGGGCUACACACGUGCUACAAUGGCGCAUACAGAGGGCAGCAAGCUAGCGAUAGUGAGCGAAUCCCAGAAAACGUCUCGUAGUCCGGAUUGGAGUCUGCAACUCGACUCCAUGAAGUCGGAAUCGCUAGUAAUCG
rnacentral:rRNA from 1 species